rnacentral:misc_RNA from 1 species
GAUGAAGAACGUAGCGAAAUGCGAUAAGUAGUGUGAAUUGCAGAAUUCAGUGAAUCAUCGAAUCUUUGAACGCACAUUGCGCCCCUUGGUAUUCCAUGGGGCAUGCCUGUUCGAGCGUCAUUUGUACCUUCAAGCUUUGCUUGGUGUUGGGUGUUUGUCCUGAGGGACUCGCCUUAAAGUAAUUGGCAGCCAGUGUUUGGUUUUGAAGCGCAGCACAAGUCGCGAUUCAAAGCUAUACGCCCGCUUCCACAAGCCUUUUUCACUUUUGACCUCGGAUCAGGUUGGGAUACCCGCUGAACUUAAGCAUAUCAAUAAGCGGAGGA